UAUUGUAUUUUAGAAAUAAAAAACUGUUGCUCAAAAGUACUUCAAUCAUAACCACACUCAAGUAGAGAAAGUGAUAUUCAAAGUGUAUUGAAGUGUUACCAUGAAACCUUCGAAGAUAAGUUUAAUUUACUGUAGAGGUUUACGUUAUGUUGCUGAAAAUCGAAUCUCUCUACUUUUUUAAUUUUUAAGCUACCGAAAUUAUCUAUAAAAAUAGCAAAAAUCAGAAAUGGUGCCGAUAUAUUUAAGUAGUGUCCAACGAAGUAUUAAAACGGCAGACAAUUUCUUCGGUUUCGGUUCUCCACUCUGGCAGAUUACCACCAUUAAUUGUUAAGUUUUCACAUGCCUCUAUAAACAAAGGUCUGUAUACGUACGGUGCAAUAC